rnacentral:ncRNA from 1 species
CCCUGCGGGAGAGUUCGGGACCGCCGAUGCGCGGAAACCCGGCGCCGAAGGAGCAACCGCCCCGGAAACUCUCAGGCAUCAAGGACCGCAGGGGG